rnacentral:lncRNA from 10 species
CCAGAUAGGAGAACAAAAGCAGGCUGCCCGAGCUAGCAGUGGCAACAUGCUCAGGUCUCUUACCACGCUGUGGAAGCUUUGUUCUUUCGCUCUUUGCAAUGAAUCCUGCUGCUGCUCACUCUUUGGGUCCACACUGCCUUUAUGAGCUGUAACACUCACUGUGAAGGUCCGCAGCUUCCCUCCUGAGCCAGCGAGACCAGGAACCCACCAGAAGGAAGAAACUCAGAACACAUCCCAACAUCAGAAGGAACAAACUCCAGACGCGCCACCUUAAGAGCUGUAACACUCACCGCGAGGGUCUGCGGCUUCAUUCUUCAAGUCAGUGAGACCAAGAACCCACCAAUUCCGGACACACCAAGUCCUGAGUUCAGAAUUUUGUUUUUGAGAUGAACAUAAAAGCACCUAAAGGUCAAGGAAGAUGUUCUUCCUGUGAUAAGGAACACAAAGCCUGUUUGGUGGUCUCUUCACACGGAAGCGCAUGACACUUCGCUUUAGUGUAGAUGACCACUCCCCUCUGUAAGGUGUUUCCUGUGAUCUCUGGGAUCCUGAUCCGCACCACUCAACUUUGGCCUCCUAAACUUCAUCCUUGACCCCACCCCAGGACCUCUUGACCAGAAUUUAUCCAGCACUCCAGCACGGCUUGCACGUUAUCUGGAGUAAAGAGACCUUCU